CGCAGCCCCUUUGUUUUUCUUUUCUCGGAUGAAAGGGGCCCAGCCGUCAUCUCCCUCCUCUCGCCUGACUCCUGUUCAUCCACGAAUCCCACAUCGAGUCCCGACCCAUGUCCUCACCUGAUUCAUUCCCCUACCACACGGAAAUCACCUUAUAAAUAUUCCUCGUCUCUCUCUCAUUUGAUUUCCGCCAAAAUUGCCAACUCCUGUGCCCUAGAACAGCGCCCUAGCCUCGCCGGAGUUUGCCGCCGCUGGAGCUUCGUCCUCGGUCACGUUCGUCGCCUCCAGAUAGGUUCAGCGCCUCCUUCCCCUCUGAUUCACUUCGCCUUGGUUUCCUCUCUCUCCCUCUUCAUCUACUUCGCGCAGGGGAGCAGUGCGGCGACGCACACAACCUCAACAGAAGGUUGCCGCCAGCAGCCGUGUUCCAACCGGACGGUGCUGUCGCGGGAGCAAUCCCCGGUCAUCCCCGCAGACGUAUUCCAGUCGCCGUGGACGCCGCCAAACUCACCAUCGUCGUACGCCUCUUCCUAUGGUCGGCCCGCCGUCGCCGGAGAUUUCCUGUAGCUGUUGGCAUCAUCGAGGUCCGAGCCGCCGAGGUCCUCUUCUCCAAGUCCGGCAGCCACCCGGCUGUCCUCUGUUCCUCUCCGGAUUUUCAGAUGAUCAGUGAGAUAUAGUAGGGUCGCGAGUCUUCAUUCAGCAUUUUCGCUAGUGGGCAUUGAUGGGAUUCAUCGUUUGCUUAUGCUACCUUUCCGCUGUUAUUAUUGAAUAAAGUUAGCUAUGUGCUACUCAGUUUGUAAUACUUUAUGAAUUAUGGAUCAUACAUUAUAGUAAAUGAUGCACUUGUUAUUUGAUAUUCA